ncrna:Streptomyces sp. HPH0547 L17-Actino-Proteobacteria ribosomal protein leader
CCCGGUACCUGAUACGGCCGGGACUGCCGCCGGUGCCUGAUACGGCCGGCGCAG